CUGUAAUCCGGGAAGCAGCCUCCCCUGGACACAAUCUUCUAGUGUCUCCCCUUGAGUUCAUAGCCUACAGAACAGUGGGAGCAGGUCUUCCAUACUAUACAAAAGUCCAGGUCUGGAAACGCCAGUGACUUAAAGACAAAAGCCAUUUAACCCUCCCCUCUACUGGAGCAGCUGACCUCAAUUGAUGGAUGGGAAUGCAAGGAAACCCACCUGGAGACCUGGAAUCCCCGAGCGCUCUCACUUGGGUCCUGUGAUGAGCAUGAAGAUGGGCCAGAAGCGAAGCAGCAGAGGGAAGGAGAGAGGCUGGGCCCUCACGGGAGGCUGGCCCAUGGCAACAUCCCCCAAAGCAUUCUUCAGGCUAGAAUGAGUUUCAUCCAGCCUCAUCUUG